rnacentral:rRNA from 1 species
CCUACGGGCGGCUGCAGUGAGGAAUAUUGGUCAAUGGACGAGAGUCUGAACCAGCCAAGUAGCGUGAAGGAUGACUGCCCUAUGGGUUGUAAACUUCUUUUAUAUGGGAAUAAAAUGUUCCACGUGUGGGAUUUUGUAUGUACCAUAUGAAUAAGGAUCGGCUAACUCCGUGCCAGCAGCCGCGGUAAUACGGAGGAUCCGAGCGUUAUCCGGAUUUAUUGGGUUUAAAGGGAGCGUAGGUGGAUUGUUAAGUCAGCUGUGAAAGUUUGCGGCUCAACCGUAAAAUUGCAGUUGAAACUGGCAGUCUUGAGUACAGUAGAGGUGGGCGGAAUUCGUGGUGUAGCGGUGAAAUGCUUAGAUAUCACGAAGAACUCCGAUUGCGAAGGCAGUUCACUGGACUGCAACUGACACUGAGGCUCGAAAGUGUGGGUAUCAAACAGGAUUAGAUACCCUAGUAGUC